GACGAACGCUGGCGGCGUGCCUAAUACAUGCAAGUCGAGCGAAGUUUUUCUGGUGCUUGCACCGGAAAAACUUAGCGGCGAACGGGUGAGUAACACGUAACGAACCUGCCUCAUAGACGGGGACAACUGUAGGAAACGAUAGCUAAUAACGGAUAACAGCAUUAACUGCAUGGUUGAUGUUUAACAGAUGUUUUUGCUAACACUAUGAGAUGGCUUUACGGUGCAUUAGCUAGUUGGCGGGGUAAAGGCCUACCAAGGCGACGAUGCAUAGCCGACCUGAGAGGAUGAUCAGCCACACUGGAACUGAGACACGGCCCAGACUCCUACGGGAGGCAGCAGUGGGGAAUAUUGCACAAUGGGCGCAAGCCUGACGCAGCCACGCCGCGUGGGUGAAGAAGGCUUUCGGUUCGUAAAGCUCUUUUGUUGGGGAAGAAUGGCUGCAUGGUAACACCACGCUGUAGUGACGGUACCUAACCAGUAAGCCACGGCUAACUUCGUG
rnacentral:rRNA from 1 species